rnacentral:lncRNA from 1 species
AAUAAGAACUUGUUUUCUUUGCAUUAUUUGAGGUCUGAAAGCUCUGUAUCUUUUUUGUUAUUUUACCCAUUUCUCAUUUUCUGCAAAUAAAUGAUGUAAAUGACAAUAUUUUUAUUUGGAAUUUGGGAAUUUGGGCUGAAUGACCAAGCACCUAAUUACACAGCCCCACAUCAUGAUGGAACCACCACCAAAUUUUACUGUGGUUAGCAAGUGUUUGCCUUGGAAUGCUGUGUUCUUUUUCAGCCAUGCAUACCGCCCUCCAAAUAACAAAAUUUUAGUUUCAUCAGUCCACAGUACCUUAUUCCUGGCUUGUCCAAAUGUGCUUAAGCAUACCUCAAGUGACUCUGUUUGUGGCGUGUGCUCAGAAAAGGCUUCUUCUGCAUUACUCUCCCAUAAAGCCUCUCUUUGUGCAAAGUGCGCUAAAUAGUUGAAUGAUGCACAGUGACUCCAUCUGCAGCAAGAUGAUGUUGUAGGUCUUUGGAGGUGGUCUGGGGUUGACUAUGACUGUUCUCACCUAGCUGACUCUUUACCCAGGUUUCUUGGACCAGCUCUUGUGUUGUCUUCCUUGGGAUGCUGGAUUGCAUUUGUUGUAGUUGGGCCUGUGGGCACGGACAUAGAUCUCUCCUGGCCAAGCGCACAACGUUGAACACGCACAUGAACCGACAUGGAACAUUGAAACAAAGGGAGAAUAUAUACCGAAGUAACAGGAAACACCUGGGAACAGGUAACGAGGGGGCGGAACUACAAAUAACAACAAAUGAAAACACUAAGGUGGAGACAGGAAGAACACACAGGGCUAUGUGCAGGGGAAAGGUAAAUAAACAAACAGAAGGGCAGGAAAAACACAGAGACAGACAGGAGAGACACAGAACAGGACGAGAACAUUACAGCCUUCAUUUUGUGCAGAUGCCAACAGCAUUGACAUACUGUUAAACUCAAUUAAACAUGUUUUGUUUUGUCUUCUUCAGGAAUGAGUGACAUCCUGUUCCCAGCCUUCUCCUGAUCCCAGGUUGGCAGCACAGUUUAAAUUUACCUCCAUAGGCUUGUGGAGGUAAAUUUGUGGAAACACCACUGAGAAGAAUCUGACACAGUUCUGAAAUCAGA